AAUGAACGCUGGCGGCGUGCGUAACACAUGCAAGUCGAACGUGAAAGUCCCCUUCGGGGGAUGAGUAAAGUGGCAAACGGGUGAGUAACACGUGGGUAACCUGCCCUCUGGUGGGGGAUAACCCUGCGAAAGCGGGGCUAAUACCGCAUAACAAGUCGCUAAAUAAUUAGUCGACUUCAAAGCCUUCGGGCGCUAGAGGAGGGGCCCGCGUCCCAUUAGCUAGUUGGUAGGGUAACGGCCUACCAAGGCUGCGAUGGGUAGCCGGCCUGAGAGGGUGUCCGGCCACACUGGAACUGAGACACGGUCCAGACUCCUACGGGAGGCAGCAGUAGGGAAUAUUGGACAAUGGGCGCAAGCCUGAUCCAGCCAUGCCGCGUGAGUGAAGAAGGCCUUCGGGUUGUAAGCUCUUUCAGGUGGAAAGAAAACGACAUGGGUCAAUACCCUGUGUGGAUGACGGUACCAUCAGAAGAAGCACCGGCUAACUACGUGCCAGCAGCCGCGGUAAUCUGUAGU
rnacentral:rRNA from 1 species